GGCAGGAAGAACCUCUACACCUGAGAGUUCAUCUCUCUUUCCCAACUCUCUCAGUUGCACUAACAGUGAUGCUGAUGGUUGCUGCUCCGCAAGUGAGGACACAGCAUUAUAAGUGGAUGUCUGACAUCACAGUUUGACCAUGGCUGACCUUAGUUGCCCCAUUCUAGAAGGUUUCACACCAGCUGUCCUUACACACCAAAAUGAUUGAAGUCCAAUCAAAUGAGCCCAGGGAUAACCACACAGUUUGGGCCCAUUUCCUCACAAAACAACACUUCCAUCAGACAGCGGUGCCUGCUUUCGGGCACCCAGGAUCAGGGGGCACAUUUGCAAAAGAGGAAUGCAACAACACAUCACAAACAACAGCAGAGCCAGGAAAUAACAACAGAAGACACAAACAACACCAGCCCAGGGAAACUGUCGUUACUGUAUGUGCAAAGCUGCAGGAAGCCCAGCACUUACCAACUGGUGAGCAGUCACCUGGAGGCAGCAGCAACGGCCCUCACUGUUGCGGCAUUUAAGGGUUAUUUUUAGCAGGGCGGAAGUCCCUGUGGUUGUAGAACAAAAGGACAAGAAUUUAAAUUCAAGAAAAAUAAGUCUGCAUGAGUCUGGGACAUGCGGCUGCAGGGAUGGCUACCACAGCACAGACCUCCUGCCUUGCAUACAGCGGUUUCUGCACAGAGAGUAUAAAGAAGAAACGUGGAGAACAGCAGAGCUGAAGCACUCAGCUGCAUCUCAGCAAUGCAUGGACCCUGAGAUGACAAGCGCACAUGGAUCAAUCUGAAAAUAGAAUAGCAGAAUAUGCUAAAAUAAAGCCUCCUGCAUAAAACACAACUUGCAGCCCAUCUCAAUGGCACGGGAAUUAUCCUUGUUUUCUGCAAAUGUGGACAUGAUGAGAGCACCCGAAAUGGCUGCGAGACUGCAGUUUGUGGUAGCUGAUUUGAUUUCAGGCAGGACCACUGUCAGUCUGAACCUCAGCUGAAGACAACGGAGCAAAAUCGAUGAGGCACCACAACAAACAACGCUAUUACAGUAAAUGAGUCCAAGUUCGGGAUCACAAAUGAAGUGCUGCAGAAAUCAUUCUUUUUGGAACAACGCCUCUUCACAGAAGAGGGUCCAGAUGACAUCACAUCCUCUCCUAUAAGUUACGCUGCCUCCAAAGUUCAGUGACAAAGAUCACCCACGCUCUGUUGCACAACCCCAAGGACGAUGUCCGGGUCUCCCGCACUGCUCCUCCUGCUCAGCCUGGGGCUCUUUACAGAAAGAACACCACCACAUUUAAUGGGGGUGAGAGAACAUCUCCGCACUUUCAGGCAUCAUGGAGAGUCAGCACCUCUACGCUGGUUGUGAAAUCCUUCAGGGCAGAAGAUGAGGGGAUCUAUUUCUGCACUGUCAGCAUUAACCAGGUGCUCCACAUCAGCUCAGGACAACCCGCCUUCUUCCCAGGCACAACAACAGCAGCACCCAGCACCCUCACUGCCACCAACCAGAGCAGCCAGGUCACCACAAAGGACAUCGCCUGUCACAGCCCGGACGCAGGUAACCCAGCUGUGGGGAGGCCGCGGCUCUGCCAGCAGUGCUGCUUUGCUCUCAUGAGCCUAAAUUAAGGCCUGGGCUGACUGAUGUGGGGAGGCAGUAAGAUUUCUAAUCUUUAACAGAGAGCAGCCCAUGAGUGGAUGAAAGUCACUCCAUUUUGGGCUGGGCUGCCCAGGAAAGCAGUAGAGUAACCAUACACAAAGAUAUUUGACUUCUCUGAGCGUGGCAAUAAAGAACGUGGGAUAUUAAUGGGACUCAGAAGGGCAGGCUGAUGCUUGGCUGAGGAGAUCGUGAAGGUCUUUUCCAAAAUCAAUGAUUUCACAAUUGCAUUAUCCAAGCUACCUUUCAACCUACCAGGGGUGACCCAAAACUCACAAGCAUGCACAAUGAUGGAUCACAUCCAAAAAAAAAAAGGGACUGCAUUUUGAGCUAACACUGCUUUAAGCCUUAGCAGGGAAUACAAGAAAUCUUGUGGCUACCUGUCCUCCCUCAGCUCACCAGAAACAUGCUCACAGCAGCAGCCCACAGCUGAGAAUGUCACCAGCAGACAUCUCUGGUACCCAUCUCUCUGUGCCCUAUGGAAGCCGUCUCCUUAUCUACACCUACCGCCAUCCUUGCUCAGAGCCACACGGCUCCCUUUCCUGCUGGACCUCUUGAUGGCUCUACCACAACUGGAUGACACCACAGCCGAGAGCCGGGCCUCACUUUUUCCCCUCUCUCCUUUCUUCCUGCAGGAACAAGCAACAAGAACAUGCUGAACUCCUCCUGUGAAGUUUUUCUCUGGGUUCAAGUGGCUGGCACCUGCCUCCUGCUCCUCACUGCCAUAACCAUCAUCAUCACACACCGCCAAAGGAAGACCCACCCUGACACCAUGCAGAGGUUCCUGGAGACUCACACUACAGAGCACAAACCAUUCCGCCAGGGCAAUGGGCUCUCUCCCUAUUGCCCUCACACAGCCAUUGUGUAUCCAGGACACAGGGAAUGCUGAAGGACUGCUCUUAAAACUCUUUCCCAUAUUUUCCUCAUUUCUAGGUUAGAUUGAGAAAUAUUUAUUGCAUUCUGCACUCUCAGGCAAUAUCUGAAAACACAGAAACUUCAUUCCAUUAGACUACUUUGCCUCUAUAAUCCUGAUAUCCAUAAAUCAGGGUUGGAAGAUGCAGAACCCAAAACACUGAGGAAUAACUCAAGAGAAACUUGCUCCAGUAUAGGUCUUCAAAAUCCACAUGCUAACACUCUCAGCAGCAGAUUGAGCUACAGCCAAACUACCUCCUUAAUUACACAUACUCAGAGGCUGCUAUGCUGCAAGCUUUGAGGCUACACUUCUGGGAAGGCAACAGGUUUGGGCACAAUUUCAGGUCUGAAAUCUUUAAUUUGAUCAGAGAAAGUAGCCAGGGCAAAGGUAUGUUUGAGCGCCAGCAUUUCUCUUUUCCCCCCUCCUGUUGAAACUAAGGUUGUGACUGGAGAUGAAAUUCUGAAACUUUCACUCAGCUCUCAGUUCUUCUUUACCAAAGAGAUCAAAUGUUCUAAAUGCACAAAGCAGACGGAUAAUCAAAACCAACCAUGUCUCACACUCCGUUGUCAC